UACAGGGGGGGCAAGCGUUGUUCGGAAUUACUGGGCGUAAAGGGUUUGUAGGUGGCUUGUUAAGUCAGACGUGAAAUCCCUCAGCUUAACUGGGGAACUGCGUCUGAUACUGAUGAGCUUGAGUGCGGGAGAGGAACGCGGAAUUCCAGGUGUAGCGGUGAAAUGCGUAGAUAUGACACAGAACACCGAUUGCGUAGGCAGCUCGCUAAACUGUAACUGACGCUGAGGCACGAAAGCGCGGGGAGCAAACAGG
rnacentral:rRNA from 1 species